rnacentral:lncRNA from 1 species
AUUAAUUUUAAGGCCUAGAGAGGAGGAGACAGAGUUUAGACUCAUCCAACAUAUUGGAUUUUAUUAGGUUUUAUUGGGUUUUUUGUGAUUUAAAAUUUGUUAAGCCUCUUGAAAACUCCAUAAUUAUUAAUGGCCUUGUUUGGGAGCCCAACAAAAAUUUUCAUAUAUAAGGUUUAGUCCCACAUUAGAAACCAAAAGAAUGUUGAUAGUAUAUAAAUAUUCCUUUAUUCUCAAGCUAAUUGUUUGGAAGAAAAUUAGAGUUAUGUUCUCGUUUAAAUAAACGCACACACGAGCUGGGCCGGGCCGGAGGCGGCGGGCGUGGUUCAUACACCCAGUUUAUUUUAUUUUUAUUUUUCGAUUUUAUCGGUUUUCUAAUUAUAAUCCUAAUUCUUAUCCGUAUAAUUUUAGGUUUAUUUUGUUCUACACGGAUUUCACGCAUUGAAACAAGAUUCUUGCCUUUGUUAUAAAUAUUUGAAUAAGAACCCGAGCAUAUCUAAACCCUCUCGCCUUUUCCUGUUUUCUCGCCAUUAAUCGUUUCCGCCAGUUUUCGCCAAAUUUUCUUUGCUGGAUCUGAAGCUUGUUGAGUUCAUCUUGCGCCAUCUUGAAAGCGUGCCGAUAGGGUGAAAAGUGAUCAUUGUAUCGCUAGGAGUAAUUGCCGGGAAGCCUCGCACGUGGAGGGAUAAUUUCGCUUCUAAGACAAUACUCUGCAAGCCUCAAUCCAUAGGCCUUUUCUAUUCCUUAUCUUUACAAUAUUUUUGUUUAAUUUCGUCUCGAAAUUUCUCUAAAACUGUAAUUAAACUUUCGAGUUGUUUUUAAAAAAUAUUAUAAUAAAAGAUCAUAAAGAAUUUUUCCGACACAACAAACUUAGGCCCAAACCUUCUAUCCAAUCCAACCCAAACUCUUUUAAGACAUGGUUUCGUCUGCUUCUGCUUCUGCUUUCAAUAGUAGCCAUAUUCAGUAUAACGUUAACCGGCCGGCGAACAAGAUUUCGAUGAAUUAGAAAAGUUACUGGAAUGAUACUACAGUUAAAAUGAAUCAUUCCCACAUAGAGAUCAACUAUAUUACCUCCACUACCUAUCGAAUAGAGUAUCUGAAUCUCUUUUUUUCUUUUUCUUUUUUUUUUUUUGAGAGAGAGAUAGGUAGCACGCUAUCCGCUUCGUUUAUUUUAUUUAGAAAUAAAUUUAGCUAAAAGUGUGAAUCAACUAGGAUUCGAACUUAGGUCUCGGGUACCAAUCACCAAGCCCAGAUGAGAACUUGGCAUAUUUACGAUCCCAUAUGAGAACGUCUUAAGCAUGUUGAGACCUGAUCUCUCAUAUUUGAACUAUUUAAUAAAUAAAUUUUGUGAUUUUUUAAUAUCAUUUGUCUAGAAAUCGAAAGAAUUUAAAAUCAACAAGUAAAAAUAAAAAUCUCACAAAAAGUUAUGAUGUAGCAUUAAAAUUUUUGAUGAGAGAUAUUGAUCUUAUUGUAGAUAGUACAAAAAAAAAUUUAUCAAAAUUUCAUUUAAUUUAAAUACUUCUACACCGUUAAACUUAUAAAGGGCACACAUCAAUCAUUAAAAAUUAUUAAUUUUGAAUCAUUUCGUUCAUUAGAUAAAUAAUAUUAAAAAUUUGUAAAAGUUAUUUUAUAAAUACUUCAAAUAUGUUAGAUCAAAUCUAAUGAAGCUGAUCGUCGAUCCAAAAAUUUCAUAAUCCAAAACCACUUAGAAAUAAAAAGGCCUCCA